GAGAGCGGCGCACGGGUGAGUAACGCGUACGCAACUUACCCUUGAGCGGGGAAUAGCCCUGGGAAACUGGGAUUAAUGCCCCAUAGUUUUAUUUGAAGGCAUCUUCGAAUAAAUAAAGUUGAGACGCUCAAGGAUAGGCGUGCGUCUGAUUAGCUAGUUGGUAGGGUAACGGCCUACCAAGGCUACGAUCAGUAGGGGGCGUGAGAGCGUGAUCCCCCACACGGGUACUGAGACACGGACCCG
rnacentral:rRNA from 1 species